GUGUUCCAGUUUCAUUGAUUUCUGUGCAGCCAUCCAGUUUUCCCAGAACCACUUGCUGAAAAGACUGUCUUUUUCCCAUUUUAUAUGCUUCCUCCUUUGUCAAAGAUUAAUUGACCAUAGGUGUCUGGCUUUAUUUCUGGGUUCUCUGUUCUGUUCCAUUGGUCUGUAUGUCUGUUUUGGUGCCAGUACCACACUGUCUUGAUGACUGUGGCUUUGUAAUAUUGCCUGAAGUCUGGGAGAAUUAUGCCUCCUGCUUGGUUUUUAUUCCUCAGGAUUGCUUUGGCAAUUCUGGAUCUUUUAUGGUUCCGUAUAGAUUUUUGGAUUGUUUGUUCUAGUUCUAUGAAAAAUGUUGUGGAUAAUUUGAUAAGGAUUGCAUUGAAUCUGUAGAUUGCUUUGGGUAGUAUGGUCAUUUGAAGGAUGUUAAUUCUUCUAAUCCAGGAUCAUGGAAUAUCUUUUCAUUUUCUUGAAUCAUCUUUACUUUCCUUGAUUAAUAUUUAUAGUUCUCAACAUAUAACUAUUUCACCUCUUUAGUCAGGUUUAUUCCUAAGUAUUUAAUUUUUGAUGUGAGAUUUUUUAAAUGUAUUAUAUUUUUAUAUUCCUUUUCUAAUAUUUCAUUGUUGGUAUCAGAAAUGCAACCAACUUCUGAAUGUUAAUCUUAUAACCUGCUACUUUGCUGAAUUCGUUGAUCAGUUCGAGUAGUUUUUCGGUAGAGUCCUUAGGGAUUUCUGUAUAUAGUAUUGUGUUGUGUGCACAGAGUGACAAUUUUACCUUUUCUCUCCCAAAUUAGAUAACAUUUAUUUUUUUUAUUUGUCUGAUUGCUGUGGCUAGGACUUUCAAUACCCUGUUGAGCAAAUGUGGUGAGAGGGUUCAUCCUUGUCUUGUUCUAGAUUUUAGUUGGAAGGCUUUCAGCUUUUCUCCUUUGAGGAUUAUAUUGGCUGUGUGUUUGUCAUAAAUGGCUUUUAUUAUGUUAAAGUAUGCUCCCCCUAUACCCACUUUGGUAAGAGUUUUUAUCAUGAAUGGAUGUUGGACUUUUUCAAAUGCUUUUUCUGCAUCUAUUGAGAUGAUUGUAUGGUUUUUGACGUUUUGUUAAUUGGUGUCGGACAUCGAUUGGUUUGCAUAUGUUGAGCCAUCCUUGAACUUGGGAUGAAUCCCACUUGGUCAUGGUGUAUAAUCUUUUUUAUAUGCUGUUAGAUUUGGUUGGGUGAAAUUUUGAGAAUUUUUGCAUCUAUAUUCAUCAAAAAUAUUGGCCUGUAAUUUUUUUUGGUAGUAUCUUUCUGGUUUUGGUCUUAGGGUGAUGGUAGUUCUUUGGAAGUGUUCCAUCUUCUUCAGUUUUUUGGAAAAGUUUAAGAAGGAUGGGUUUAAGUUCUUUGUAUGUUUGGUAGAAUUCGCCUGUGAAGCCAUCUCUCUUUUGUUGGUAGAGAGUGUUUUUUAUUAAAUAUUUAACUUCAUUUCUAGUGAUAGGUCUGUUCAGUGGAUCUAUUUGUUCUUGAUUCAGUUUUGGCAGGCUAUAAAAGUCUCUAGAAAGUUGUCCAUUUCUUCUAGGUGGUCAAAUUUGUUGGCAUAUAAUUGUUCAUGGUAUUCUUUUAUGUUUUUUGUAUUUCUUCAGUAUCUGCUAAGAUUUUACCUUUUUCUCUUCUUAUUUUGAGUUCUAUCUCUCCUCUUGUUAAGUCUGGCCAGAGGUUUGUCAAUUUUGUUUACCCUUUCAAAGAACCAGCUCUUGGUUUUAUUGAUUUUUUUCUGUUGAUUUUUGAAUCUCUAUUUUAUUGAUUUCCUCUCUGAUCUUUAUGAUUUCCUUCCUCCUGCUGACUUUAGGUUUUGUUUGUUUUUCUUUUUCUAAUUCUUUUAGGUGAUGGAUUAGGUUGUCGAUUUGAGAGUUUUCUUCUUUUCUGAGGAAGGCCUGUAUUGCAAGAACUUACCUCUAAGCACUGCUUUUGUGGUGCCCCAUAGAUUUUGAAUGGUUGUAUUUUCAUGAUCAUUUGUCUCAAGGUAUUUUUAAUUUCCAUUUUGAUUUCCUUGUUGACCCACUGGUUUUUUAGUAGCAUCUUGUUUAGUCUCCAUGUGGUCAGUUUUUUCUCAUUUCUUUUCCUGUGGUUGAUUUCUAGUUUCAUGUGAUUGUGGUCAGAAAAGAUACAUGAAAUAUUUUCUGUACUCUUAAAUUUCUUGAGGUUAGUUUUGUGCCCCAGUAUGUGGUCAAUCCUUGAGACUGUUCCAUGUGCACUUGAAAAGGAUAUAUAUUUGGAUUUUUUUUUUUUUGAUGUAAUGUCUUGAAAAUGUAAAUUAAGUCUAACUUUUCUAUUGUGUCCCUUAGGAUCUCUGUUUCCUUAUUGAUUUUCUGUCUAGAGGAUCUGUCCAUUGAUGAAAUAUCUUUUUCCGUCUCAUUUUCUAUUUAUACGUGUCCUUUGCCAUAAGGUGAAUCUCUUGUAGACAUCAUAUUGUAGGCUCUUGCUUUUUUAUCCAGGCUACCACUCUGUCUUUUGAUUGGAGCAGUCCAUUGACAUUUAAGCUAAUUUUUUAUAAAUACGUAAUUUAUUGCCAUUUUACACUUUGUUUUCCAGUUGAUUCUGUUUCUCCUUCAUUUCUUUCUUUUUUUUUUUUCAUUGGGUAAUUCCUUUUAUUUUAAGCUUGUUUCCUCUUUUUAUUUUUUGUGAAUGUAAUGUUUGCUUUUGAUUUCUGAUUGUCCUGUUUUU
ensembl:lncRNA